rnacentral:rRNA from 1 species
GUGCAUGGCAGAGUAGCCAAGUCGGGAAGGGAUAAACGCUGAAGGCAUCUAAGCGUGAAGCCCCCCUCAAGAUGAGAUUUCCCAUAGCGUAAGCUAGUAAGACCCCUUGAAGACGACAAGGUUGAUAGGUCGGAGGUGGAAGCAUGGUAACAUGUGUAGCUGACCGAUACUAAUAGGUCGAGGGCUUGACCUA